rnacentral:lncRNA from 1 species
UACCAAUACCAAUACCAACUACAUUUGAUCAUUUGUAUUAUAUAAUUCACUGUUAUUGCUCUCUACUUCUAAUUAACAUCACGCAAACUCAUCUACUCUCUAUUUCUAACAAAACCAAAUUCAUCUUCUCUCUAUUCUCUCUACUUGUAUCAAGCAUACUCAUCUUCUUCUUUUUUCCUCUCUUUGAUCACAAGUUUAUAAAACUCUUUAAUCAUUUCUAUGGCUUCUUCUUCUCAAAACACAUUCGAUGAAUCAUCUGAUGAUACAUUUGAUGACAUAUUUGAUCAAAAAUUUGAUGAAAAAUUUGAUCAAUUCUUUGAUCAAGCGUU